GACGAACGCUGGCGGCGUGCUUAACACAUGCAAGUCGAGCGGUAAGGUCUUUCGGGGUACACGAGCGGCGAACGGGUGAGUAACACGUGGGUGACCUGCCUUUAGCUUCGGGAUAAGCCUGGGAAACCGGGUCUAAUACCGGAUAUGACCUCAUGUCGCAUGGUGUGGGGUGGAAAGUUCUUCGGCUAGAGAUGGGCCUGCGGCCUAUCAGCUUGUUGGUGGGGUGAUGGCCUACC
rnacentral:rRNA from 1 species